AUUUCCUUCCUUCGCGUCGCGUUGCGUCGUCGGUUCAAUCGGCGGUGGCCGAGAUGCUUCCACACCUGUUGCGAAAAUAUUAAAAAAAAAUUAAUCUGUCGUAAGUUCAAGCUAUGCCUGCCUAUAAUGGUAUCUAUAUCUACUACGUAAGAAGAAGAAGAAGAAGAAGAAGAACUUGUCAUACGCAAAUGAAGAUCUUCGACUAUUAAAUUUUAAAUGGUUAAAUAAUAAUUAACCCGACGUAAGUCAAUAAAGGCACUCGUACGUAUAAUACAAAGGAGACAAUGUUGCAGAUUAAUAUAGGUAGGUAGUAGGUACUCGGGCCAUAUAAGUUUUAAGUACGCAAAUUUGCCUUAAUGAAUAAUAAUGCGAUCUUUAGGCAAAUAAGUAAGCGACGAUGACGUUGAAAAAUUUUGCUCUUUUUUUCCGCGAAAUGAUCGAUGAAGCCGAUGUGUGUAAAUACGAGUAACUUACUCUCGCAAGUCUCAGUUCAGAAGAACGAAUAUUUACUUAUAAGACGUGUCGAUUACAUCGCUAGCGUAGUUUGCAAUUUACCUAUACAAUAUACAUACACUCUGAGUAAAGUAAACCGAAUUUCAUAUUGCGCGCGUUUUGUUCGUUGUUGCUCUUUUAAUACAUAUUUUCACAAAGUGGUACUCUCUGUGCCUGUGUACCCCGACGUUUAAUUUUUAUCUCUAAUUCACCGUAAUUACAUUCUAUACAACAUUCGUAUCUGCUGCAGAAUUUAUUCUAACGCGUCUCAACUACCUCUAGCUAGAGUGUAUACGUAGCCUAGCUACUUCAUUCGCUUAGCGAGUUACACCCUUGUCAAAUCGAGUUAAGUAAAUUUUCAACUUUCUCUCAACAUAAAUGUUUUUAACAUGAAAAUUAUUCCAGCUCUUGGGCUAUAUUUUCUUUAGUUAAACCUAUCAACUUUGAUAUACUUAAUUUAAAACAGAAAAAACAAUAUAUUCGUUUUCAAAAUUAGUGCUGGAAUAAAAACCUACGUCAGCUUUGUUUUUAAUACGAAAUGAAGCGGUGAUAGUGAGUGGAAAUUUUUAAUAGAGUUUGACUUCUCGUAGAUGAGUUCGCUAAUUUAUGAAUGAAAACGAUAACAAUACGAUGUAAAAAAAAGUCUCGAAUUUAAUCAUUUCGGUACCAUGGUUCUCGUCUUGGUUUGUUGUUUUCUUGUUGCUACACCAAAAUAGGGACGCUUUUUUGUGUCCAGUGGAUACUGAAAGACAUUGAGAAAUUUUGGUAAUUCGUUCAACGAAUAAAUUUUUUAAAAAAGUGAUGCUUUUUUGAUGAUAAAAAUUUUCUUUUCAAAACCCGUUAAAUGAAAUACGUAAAAAGUGAAUUUGUUGGCACUGCUCUAAAUAGGCAUGCUCUUGCUCUAGGUAAUUUUAAUUUACGUAGUUUCAAAUUAUUCGCUUUUACGCGGGCUUAUUUUCGCGCAAGUUUGUUAUUUUUUGUUAUUUUGCUAAUAUAACGCACGUAUUUUACUAAUAAACGUGGUAAACGUUAACUUAAUCGUUUAAAAAUUAAACUGGUGACCGAGCAUAGAAAAAUAAAAUACCUCGAAAUUGUCGUGUUUUUAGCGCUGAAUAGAAAAUAUGUUUUUUUUUUACCGCUUGAUAGCGACUAGUUUUAAAAAAAUUACAAUCAACACUUCCUGAACUUAUUUGGAAAAAUUUAUGAUUUCGCUGGUCAAAUCACCAAUUUUUAUCACUUGAAAAUAAAUAAAUAAACUGAUGAAAUUUAAGGUCACGUCGCGUCGUUGCUAAACAGAAGCUACUAAGUAACAAAUUUAUCGACUUCAUGAUCUCGAGCUGAACUUUAUCACGAACUACCUACAUUACAAAUAAAAUUCCGAUAAGUGCACCCAACGUAUGACCUAACACAUUAGCAACGUGUAAAUUGCCUGCGAUUUAUCAAAACGAGACGUUAGAGACGUUUUGAAAAAUAAUCGUAUCAGCAUUUUUUCAUAACAGAAAUAGGAAAAAGUUACCUACGUCGUCGAUCGCAUCGUUGGUUCCUUAGCAGUUAGCGGCUUGUUCGUUGACCGGAGUACCCAACUUAUUAGAUAGGUAUUUUUUAUUUUAAUUUUGACCAAACGACAUUGCAUAACAUGAGUACCUUUUGUUAUCAACGUGUACUAAACGUUGCUUUCAUUUAUUUUUUGACGUAAGCCAUUUUAACAUCAGCUACCUUGACUGAUAAACAUAUUUUCCUGCUCAACAUUUCACAUGGUACGUAGAAAAUUUAUGACGUUAUUGGUAGAUUCGCAAAGUCUGCAUUUCAUGAAGCUCCUGCGGGUUGAUUUUAGAAAAACUAGGUAUGCACCAAACUUGGCUUAAUUAACUCGCAAGAUGUAUCGAUAAAAAACGUACCUAAUUAACUGUUUUUACCAUUACCUACUCGUAUUAUUACGUACGUACAAUUUGAUUCGUUUAUCGAACUCAAUUAUCAAAUUAACCUCGUUAAAUUAUUGGGGAUUUGUAUACCAAUUCGCGAAAAAAUGAUUUCCAUGUUUUGAGAAACAGCAAUAAUGAGUCAAUAAUAUAAAUUCGUUCGAAAUUUAGAGUUACAAGUACAUAUAUGUAUGUAAGUAUGUAGGUACCUAUUUUUGGAAGUUUAAAUCAUUUAAAACGAAUAAAGAGUCACCGAUACAUUGAUACUUAUUUUUGUAAACCAAAAAUUGUAAAAAACAGAAAUUGUUGGGAUUUCAAAAUGAACGUUAAAAUGGGUAAUUUAAUAAGAAUUAAAAAAAAAAAAAAUACAA